rnacentral:rRNA from 1 species
AGCGAACGCUGGCGGCAGGCUUAACACAUGCAAGUCGAGCGCCCCGCAAGGGGAGCGGCAGACGGGUGAGUAACGCGUGGGAACGUACCUUUUGGUUCGGAACAACUCCGGGAAACUGGAGCUAAUACCGGAUAAGCCCUAACGGGGAAAGAUUUAUCGCCGAAAGAUCGGCCCGCGUCUGAUUAGCUAGUUGGUGAGGUAACGACUCACCAAGGCGACGAUCAGUAGCUGGUCUGAGAGGAUGAUCAGCCACACUGGGACUGAGACACGGCCCAGACUCCUACGGGAGGCAGCAGUGGGGAAUAUUGGACAAUGGGCGCAAGCCUGAUCCAGCCAUGCCGCGUGAGUGAUGAAGGCCUUAGGGUUGUAAAGCUCUUUUGUCCGGGAAGAUAAUGACUGUACCGGAAGAAUAAGCCCCGGCUAACUUCGUG